GCGCUUACCACUUUGUGAUUCAUGACUGGGGUGAAGUCGUAACAAGGUAACCGUAGGGGAACCUGCGGUUGGAUCACCUCCUUACCU
rnacentral:rRNA from 12 species